GACGAACGCUGGCGGCGUGCCUAAUACAUGCAAGUAGAACGAGUUGCGAACGGGUGAGUAACGCGUGGUAACCUGCCUCAUAGCGGGGGAUAACUAUUGGAAACGAUAGCUAAUACCGCAUACUGUGAGAUGGACCUGCGUUGUAUUAGCUAGUUGGUGGGGUAAAGGCUCACCAAGGCGACGAUACAUAGCUGGUCUGAGAGGAUGACCAGCCACACUGGAACUGAGACAAGGUCCAGAAUCCUACGGGAGGCAGCAGUGGGGAAGAUUGCACAAUGGGCGCAAGCCGGAUGCAGCCAUGCCGCGUGUAUGAAGAAGGCCUUGGGGUUGUAAAGUACUUUCAGCGAGGAGGAGUUACUCGCAGAAGAAGCACCGGCUAACUCCGUGCCAGCCGCCGCGGUAAUAC
rnacentral:rRNA from 1 species